UGCUUUAAUCUCCACUUGUUCUCACCCCCUUCCCCUUUGCAACUUGGUCACUGUCAUUUUCUUAAUCUCUGGAGAUUCCGCCCUGAUUCCUUUCAAGUGGCAUCAGCUCUGUCUCUUAGGUUUGGUAUUCUGGAGUUGGCAUAAAUAUUUCUGCCUGUUUGAGGCCCCUGGCUGGAUUCUGACCUUGGACAUGACUGGGGG
rnacentral:lncRNA from 1 species